rnacentral:rRNA from 1 species
GCGCACCAGUCGCGAAACCUUCGCAAUGCGGGAAACCGCGACGAGGGGACUCCCAGUGCCUACGCUCAGCGUAGGCUGUUCCCGAGCCUAGAAAGCUCGGGGGAGUAAGGGCUGGGUAAGACGGGUGCCAGCCGCCGCGGUAAUACCCGCAGCCCGAGUGGUGGCCACUAUUAUUGGGCCUAAAGCGUCCGUAGCCGGCCCGGUAAAUGCCUGGGUGAAUCGUGAGGCCUAACCUCACGAAUUCCGGGGUAGACUGCCGGGCUAGGGGACCGGAGGAGGGAGAGGGUACGUCCAGGGGUAGGGGUGAAAUCCUGUAAUCCCUGGAGGACCACCGGUGGCGAAGGCGCUCUCCUAGGACGGGUCCGACGGUGAGGGACGAAAGCCAGGGGAGCGAACCGGAUUA